GUAGGUGAACCUGCGGAAGGAUCAUUACAGAGAACUUGCCCUUCGGGGUAGAUCUCCCACCCUUUGUUAACGUUACCUAUGUUGCUUUGGCAGGCCAGACGUUUCGUCUACCGGCUUAGGCUGGACAGUGCCUGCCAGAGGACCCAAACUCUAAUGUUUCUUAUUGUAACUUCUGAGUAAAACAAACAAAUAAAUCAAAACUUUCAACAACGGAUCUCUUGGUUCUG
rnacentral:misc_RNA from 1 species